rnacentral:rRNA from 1 species
UACGUAGGCAGCGAGCGUUGUUCGGAGUUACUGGGCGUAAAGGGUGCGUAGGCGGUUGUUUAAGUUUGGUGUGAAAUCUCCCGGCUCAACUGGGAGGGUGCGCCGAAUACUGAAUGACUAGAGUGCGGGAGAGGAGAGUGGAAUUCCUGGUGUAGCGGUGAAAUGCGUAGAUAUCAGGAGGAACACCGGUGGUGUAGACGGCUCUCUGGACCAUUACUGACGCUGAGGCACGAAAGCUAGGGGAGCAAACAGG